UGUCCAUAUCAUGCUAAACACCAGUUCUCGUACAAUCACUGACAUUCAGCAACAUUCAGCCUGCUAAGUACCUAGAUGGGUGACCACAUGGGAAUACCAAGUGCUGUCAG